CCCUUAGAUGUCCUGGGCCGCACGCGCGUUACACUGAUGCAUUCAACGAGCUUAUAACCUUGGCCGAGAGGCCUGGGCAAUCUUGUUAACGUGCAUCGUGAUAGGGAUAGAUUAUUGAAAUUAUUAAUCUUGAACGAGGAAUUCCUAGUAAGCGCGAGUCAUCAGCUCGUGCUGAUUACGUCCCUGCCCUUUGUACACACCGCCCGUCGCUCCUACCGAUUGAAUGGUUUAGUGAGGCCUUCGGAUCCGCGACUCGUUUUGUGGAGAAGUUGGACAAACUCAGUCAUUUAGAGGAAGUAAAAGUCGUAACA
rnacentral:rRNA from 1 species